rnacentral:rRNA from 1 species
CCUACGGGAGGCAGCAGUGGGGGAUAUUGCACAAUGGGGGGAACCCUGAUGCAGCGACGCCGCGUGGGUGAAGGAGUGCUUCGGCAUGUAAAGCCCUAUCGGCAGGGAAGAAGCAAGACGGUACCUGACUAAGAAGCCCCGGCUAACUACGUGCCAGCAGCCGCGGUAAUACGUAGGGGGCGAGCGUUAUCCGGAUUCACUGGGUGUAAAGGGAGCGUAGACGGCCAUGCAAGCCAGGGGUGAAAGCCCGGGGCCCAACCCCGGGACUGCCCGUGGAACUGCAGGGCUGGAGUGCGGGAGGGGCAGGCGGAAUUCCUGGUGUAGCGGUGAAAUGCGUAGAUAUCAGGAGGAACACCGGCGGCGAAGGCGGCCUGCUGGACCGCGACUGACGUUGAGGCUCGAAAGCGUGGGGAGUGAACAGGAUUAGAUACCCUGGUAGUC